AACGAACGCUGGCGGCAUGCCUAACACAUGCAAGUCGAACGAGACCUUCGGGUCUAGUGGCGCACGGGUGCGUAACGCGUGGGAACCUGCCCUUAGGUUCGGAAUAACUCCCCGAAAGGGGUGCUAAUACCGGAUAAUGUCUUCGGACCAAAGAUUUAUCGCCUUUGGAUGGGCCCGCGUUGGAUUAGCUAGUUGGUAGGGUAAAAGCCUACCAAGGCGACGAUCCAUAGCUGGUCUGAGAGGAUGAUCAGCCACACUGGGACUGAGACACGGCCCAGACUCCUACGGGAGGCAGCAGUGGGGAAUAUUGGACAAUGGGCGAAAGCCUGAUCCAGCAAUGCCGCGUGAGUGAUGAAGGCAUUGAGGUUGUAAAGCUCUUUUACCCGGGAUGAUAAUGACAGUACCGGGAGAAUAAGCCCCGGCUAACUCCGUG
rnacentral:rRNA from 1 species